UACAGAGGUCCCAAGCGUUGUUCGGAUUCAUUGGGCGUAAAGGGUGCGUAGGCGGCGCGGUAAGUCGGGUGUGAAAUCUCGGAGCUUAACUCCGAAACUGCAUUCGAUACUGCCGUGCUUGAGGACUGGAGAGGAGACUGGAAUUUACGGUGUAGCGGUGAAAUGCGCAGAUAUCAGGAGGAACACCGGUGGCGAAGGCGGGUCUCUGGGCCGAUACUGACGCUGAGGAGCGAAAGCGUGGGGAGCGAACCGG
rnacentral:rRNA from 1 species